rnacentral:rRNA from 1 species
UACGUAGGGACCGAGCGUUGUCCGGAAUUAUUGGGCGUAAAGAGCGUGUAGGUGGCUUGGUAGGUCUCGUGUUAAAGCCCGCGGCUCAACCGCGGAAUCGCACGGGAAACCCCCUCGCUAGAGUCCGGAAGAGGGAUGUGGAAUUCCAGGUGUAGCGGUGAAAUGCGUAGAUAUCGGGAGGAACACCGGUGGCGAAGGCGGCCCCCUGGUUGGAUACUGACGCUGAGACGCGAAAGCGUGGGGAGCAAACAGG